rnacentral:rRNA from 1 species
UAGAGGUGCUGCAUGGCUGUCGUCAGCUCGUGUUGUGAAAUGUUGGGUUAAGUCUCGCAACGAGCGCAACCCCUAUCGUCUGUUGCCAGCAUUAAGUUGGGCACUCUGACGAGACUGCCUGGGUUAACCAGGAGGAAGGUGGGGAUGACGUCAAGUCCUCAUGGCCCUUAUGUCUAGGGCUACACACGUAAUACAAUGGCGCGUACAAAGGGAAGCGAACCUGCAAAGGGGAGCAAAUCUCAAAAAGCGCGUCUCAGUUCGGAUUGGAGUCUGCAACUCGACUCCAUGAAGUUGGAAUCGCUAGUA